rnacentral:ncRNA from 1 species
UAAAUGGGGUGCCUACGUAUGGCUGAGAUCGGAAAUUGCUCCGGGACCCAAUGAACCUGAUACGGGUAAUGCCGGCGUAGGGAUUUUA